UAAUACGGGGGGGGCAAGCGUUGUUCGGAAUUACUGGGCGUAAAGGGCUCGUAGGCGGCCAACUAAGUCGGACGUGAAAUCCCUCGGCUCAACCGGGGAACUGCGUCUGAUACUGGAUGGCUGGAAUCCGGGAGAGGGAUGCGGAAUUCCAGGUGUAGCGGUGAAAUGCGUAGAUAUCUGGAGGAACACCGGUGGCGGAGGCGGCAUCCUGGACCGGUAUUGACGCUGAGGAGCGAAAGCCAGGGGAGCAAACGGGA
rnacentral:rRNA from 1 species